CACGUAGGGCGCAAGCGUUGUCCGGAAUUACUGGGCGUAAAGAGCUCGUAGGUGGUUUGUCGCGUUGUUCGUGAAAACUCACAGCUUAACUGUGGGCGUGCGGGCGAUACGGGCAGACUGGAGUACUGCAGGGGAGACUGGAAUUCCUGGUGUAGCGGUGGAAUGCGCAGAUAUCAGGAGGAACACCGGUGGCGAAGGCGGGUCUCUGGACAGUUCCUGACGCUGAGGCACGAAGGCCAGGGGAGCAAACGGG
rnacentral:rRNA from 1 species